rnacentral:rRNA from 1 species
GUGCCAGCCGCCGCGGUAACACGUAGGGAGCAAGCGUUAUCCGGAUUUAUUGGGUUUAAAGGGUCCGCAGGCGGACUAUUAAGUCAGUGGUGAAAGCCUGCAGCUUAACUGUAGAAUUGCCAUUGAUACUGAUAGUCUUGAAUGUGGUUGAAGUGGGCGGAAUAUGACAUGUAGCGGUGAAAUGCAUAGAGAUGUCAUAGAACACCGAUUGCGAAGGCAGCUCACUAAACCAUUACUGACGCUCAGGGACGAAAGCGUGGGUAGCGAACAGGAUUAGAUACCCUGGUAGUCCACGCCGUAAACGAUGAUUACUCGAUGUCGGCGAUAUAAUGUCGGUGUCUAAGCGAAAGUGUUAAGUAAUCCACCUGGGGAGUACGUUCGCAAGAAUGAAACUCAAAUAAAUGACGG